GACGAACCGAGCGAACGUUGUUCGGAAUCACUGGGCUUAAAGGGUGCGUAGGCGGGUUGCCAAGUUUGGGGUGAAAUCCUCCGGCUCAACCGGGGAAGUGCCUUGAAUACUGGCGGUCUCGAGGGAGGUAGGGGCGUGCGGAACUAACGGUGGAGCGGUGAAAUGCGUUGAUAUCGUUAGGAAUUCCGGUGGCGAAGGCGGCACGCUGGACCUCUUCUGACGCUGAGGCACGAAAGCCAGGGGAGCGAACGGG
rnacentral:rRNA from 1 species